GGAGCGGCGGCGGAAGCGGCGGGGCUGGGGGAGCUGGGCCCGGCGGCGGCGGCGGUCUGGGCUGGCGGCGGCGGCUGGCGGCGGCUCAUGGACCCGGAGCAGCCACAAACAUCAUCUACCUCCAAACCAACUCUUUGAUGGUCUCCAACCUACAGAGACACCUGAUGCCAGCACAGAAGCAGCUGAGGGCAGAGACUUGGCAGCCCCAUCCAGAAAACCUGCACCUUUACAAAACCACUCCAGGAUAAGGAUGUUUUGCCUUCUGUGUAACUGCAUCUUCCCUGGUGGUGAUACGGGACUGUUGCCUCUUGUCUGUUCGCUGUGCCUGUGAGACACAGGUCUGCUUCUGUCCUCUCUGUAACCCCUGAAGAGGCCAUGGAAGAGCUCUGCCAGACUUCCAUCAACUCUCUCUGGCCUGAGCAGGCUGUUCCCUCUGCUUACUUGAGCUGUUAAAACACACUGGCUUUGCAAGUGAUUUUCACUCUGCUUGCGUUCUUAAGGAAGAGCAGCAGCUGAAACCACCUUAACAAGGAGAUGUGCUAGAAGGUCUUUUGUGCUGAAAAAAGAAAAAAAAAAAUGUUCCAAUUGUAAUAUGUGGACUGAAAAACAUAUCGGUUUCACAUCCUAACCAUGCCAUGUGUAAAGCUAGUCUACUGUUUCCUAGACAAUGAGGCUUCAGAGAUGACUGUACCAUCAACAAAAUUAAAUCCCAACCUCUACUCCAGGAAGCAAACAAAGUUGUUAUUGCAGAUAAAUUUAAUUUGAGAACCUAAAAAUGCAAACAACCAAAUAAUGCCAUCAUAUUCUAUUUGAGCCAAACAAAACAACACUAAACUUCUGACCUUUUUGACAAAAAGGACACAUCUUGCAUAAGUGUUUGCAAGUUUGGGCGUUUCUUUGCCUGUGUUAUUUUUAUUCCUAGGUUAAACCUGACAGUUGUGCUCAGUAAUCAUUGUGCAGUCAGCUAGAGCUGUUCUGAAGUGCUACCAGCAUCCGUAGAACUUGAGUUUUAUGUUGCUUUGGGUUUUUUUUUCCAUAGAUCUCAUACAAACAACUCUGGGCAUACACUUGAGGUUAUUCUCAGCAAAAUUUUGCUCCAAAAUUCUUAGGCAGAAAAAGGACAGUUUUUAGGCCAUUAUUAAGGAUACAUUUUAGGUUUUUCACAUCAAACAGCAAAAUGAGGCUUAGUUUAUGUAUCAUUCCAAGAUUAAAAAUAUUUAUUAUAAUAAAUUUUUAGAAAAUUUAAAGUAUCUUAAUUUUAUUCCCACUGCACAGUUUGGAACACUAUUCUGAAGCCUGGUGCAUCCAAUGAGGAACUGCAGAAAUGAUGUUAGACAAGUAAUGAAUUAGGCAAUUUAUCCUGCAGAAAGGAAUUGCACAUGGGGAAGCAGCUGUACAAAGCAUUCAUUCUUUGUCAGUGACUGCCUUAGAGCUUAGGAAGCUGUGGUUUAGCAUUCUGCUGAAUGAGCUCCUAGCAAAGACCCACCCCUCUUCCUCAUUUCCUGGCCUUCCCAUGGACAACCCACUCCUAGGAAGUGUGCACAAUGAAAUAACCCCACGGCUCUGGAGAAGCCAGCUGUGCCACCCAGUCUGAGCCUCUAAGAAUCCUUUCUAGUACCAAGUUACAUGUGUGCCAUUACUGCAAACAAAAAGAACGAGACAACUAAAAGCAGCAAUUUUUUAUUAGGUCAAUAACUCUGAAGCCCAGAAGUAUCACAAGUGAUUUUUGGUUUCGAUUUUAAGAAAAAUAAAUUCCAUUUUCUGGAAGCCAUUUCUCAAUCUCUGAGCUUCAUGAGCUUUCAUUAUAUAUAGUUUGUCUCUUUCAUUAUAUAUAGUUUGUCUUUUUUGUACUAUAAAUGCAAAAAAAGAGGGCAAAGUAUUAAUAUAAGCAGCUCUCACUUUAUGGCCUUUUUAGUAAUUUCUCUAAAAUUUACAUGUUUUUUGACUUAAUACCCCCCCAUAACUUUGUCUUUUCAGCAUCACCGAAAUACUGACAGGGGUGUCACUGUUGAUCAUUGUAAAAAUACAUUUUAAUGUGGUUAUUGACUGGUAGCUACGGAUAUGAACAUUGGCUAAAUUAGGUCAUUAACCAAUGUCAAUGAUUGCUGGAGCAGAUAAAUAAAUAUUGGAGUUGUCUCCCACUUACCUUCAUAAUAAUCCACAGGCCAAAAACACAGAAGAAGGCUGGGCUUGUUUCUAUCAGUAAGAAGGGAACACAUGUGAGAGGUGUGAAUGUGACAUAGUAAUAAACAAACAUCUGUUCUAUUACACAGUAAUAAACAAACAUCUGGUG